rnacentral:rRNA from 1 species
AGCGGCGGAUGGGUGAGUAACACGUGGGGAACCUGCCCCUAAGUCUGGGAUACCAUUUGGAAACAGGUGCUAAUACCGGAUAAUAAAGCAGAUCGCAUGAUCAGCUUUUGAAAGGCGGCGUAAGCUGUCGCUAAGGGAUGGCCCCGCGGUGCAUUAGCUAGUUGGUAAGGUAACGGCUUACCAAGGCGACGAUGCAUAGCCGAGUUGAGAGACUGAUCGGCCACAUUGGGACUGAGACACGGCCCAAACUCCUACGGGAGGCAGCAGUAGGGAAUCUUCCACAAUGGACGCAAGUCUGAUGGAGCAACGCCGCGUAAGUGAAGAAGGUUUUCGGAUCGUAAAGCUCUGUUGUUGGUGAAGAAGGAUAGAGGUAGUAACUGGCCUUUAUUUGACGGUAAUCAACCAGAAAGUCACGGCUAACUACGUGCCAGCAGCCGCGGUAAUACGUAGGUGGCAAGCGUUGUCCGGAUUUAUUGGGCGUAAAGCGAGCGCAGGCGGAAAAAUAAGUCUAAUGUGAAAGCCCUCGGCUUAACCGAGGAACUGCAUCGGAAACUGUUUUUCUUGAGUGCAGAAGAGGAGAGUGGAACUCCAUGUGUAGCGGUGGAAUGCGUAGAUAUAUGGAAGAACACCAGUGGCGAAAGCGGCUCUCUGGUCUGCAACUGACGCUGAGGCUCGAAAGCAUGGGUAGCGAACAGGAUUAGAUACC